GCAAUGAAAGUGAAGAGGGGCCUCGCGCCCCUCCAGGCAGGAUCUGUCGUCUGUUUUUUAGUGGGCGGCAGCGCACUGCCGGCCCGUCUCGGCCGCUUGUGACGGCGAGGCGGAGCAAGAGCGCACGCUCUGGGACCCGAAAGAUGGUGAACUAUGCCUGAGCAGGACGAAGUCAGGGGAAACUCUGAUGGAGGUCCGCAGCGAUUCUGACGUGCAAAUCGAUCGUCAAACUUGGGUAUAGGGGCGAAAGACUAAUCGAACCAUCUAGUAGCUGGUUCCUUCCGAAGUUUCCCUCAGGAUAGCUGGCACUAAUCUCGCUGCAGUUUUAUCCGGUACAGCGAAUGAUUAGAGGGAUUGGGGAUUUCAUGUCCUCAACCUAUUCUCAAACUUUAAAUGGGUAAGAAGCACGACUCGCCUGAAACAUUUCCAACGGAGUCGCUGCCUACUAUUGAAUGCAUGAGUGCCAAGUGGGCCAAUUUUGGUAAGCAGAACUGGCGCUGUGGGAUGAACCAAACGUCCGGUUAAGGCGCCCGAGGCGGACGCUCAUCAGACCCCAUAAAAGGUGUUGGUUGGUAUAGACAGCAGGACGGUGGCCAUGGAAGUCGGCAUUCGCUAAGGAGUGUGUAACAACUCACCUGCCGAAUCAACCGGCCCUGA
rnacentral:rRNA from 1 species